ACUUCUCCACUGUCUCUGCGAUCCUACUCAACACUCGAAGGAAACUCAUCGCCUGCUAGCCCAUCACCAGACAACAGCCCUUCUAAAUCCCAAUCGCCUGUUAAACGUAGGAGAAUGCUCCAUUGUGACACCCCGUCUACAUGCGCACAAGAAAGCAGCGGACAACGAAAAACAAAGCGAAGUUUAAACUACGAGGGUGAUUCUGAAGGAAAACCGGUUUACCAAAUGUGACCACUGCACAAAUUAUAAAAAGCAACUAGAGGCAACAAUGAAUAAAGCUAAAAGAAAGGCCAUUCAAGAACUUCUGGAUGAACACAUUGAACGUGUUAUGAAUGAACGAAGAAAAUAU